AGUGAACGCUGGCGGUAGGCCUAACACAUGCAAGUCGAACGGCAGCACAGUAAGAGCUUGCUCUUACGGGUGGCGAGUGGCGGACGGGUGAGGAAUACAUCGGAAUCUACUUUUUCGUGGGGGAUAACGUAGGGAAACUUACGCUAAUACCGCAUACGACCUACGGGUGAAAGCAGGGGAUCUUCGGACCUUGCGCGAUUGAAUGAGCCGAUGUCGGAUUAGCUAGUUGGCGGGGUAAAGGCCCACCAAGGCGACGAUCCGUAGCUGGUCUGAGAGGAUGAUCACACACACUGGAACUGAGACACGGUCCAGACUCCUACGGGAGGCAGCAGUGGGGAAUAUUGGACAAUGGGCGCAAGCCUGAUCCAGCCAUACCGCGUGGGUGAAGAAGGCCUUCGGGUUGUAAAGCCCUUUUGUUGGGAAAGAAAAGCAGAAGGUUAAUACCCCGCUGUUCUGACGGUACCCAAAGAAUAAGCACCGGCUAACUUCGUG
rnacentral:rRNA from 1 species